rnacentral:misc_RNA from 1 species
CUGAGCGAGGGCUCCGGUCCGACCUCCAACCCAUUGCAGUUACCAACCAUGUUGCCUCGGGGGUGACCCGGCCUCGGCCUCGGCGCCCCCGGAGGACCACGUCACUCUGCGUCCUUGCGUCGGAGUUUGAGGGAAAAUGUUUAAUCA